rnacentral:rRNA from 1 species
GGAGGAGCAAACGUUGUUCGGAAUUACUGGGGCGUAGAGGGCGUGUAGGUGGUCGAGUAAGUCAGGUGUGAAAUCUUACCGCUUAACGGGUAAAGUUGCAUUUGAAACUGCUUGACUGGAGGUCAGGAGAGGAGAGCGGAAUUCCCAGUGUAGCGGUGGAAUGCGUAGAUAUUGGGAAGAACACCAGUGGCGAAGGCGGCUCUCUGGACUGAAUCUGACACUGAGGCGCGAAAGCUAGGGGAGCAAACAGGAUUAGAUACCCUGGUAGUCCUAGCCGUAAACGAUGGGCACUAGGUGCUGGAAAUAUCGACGUUUUCAGCGCCGUAGCUAACGCAUUAAGUGCCCCGCCUGGGGAGUACGACCGCAAGGUUG